rnacentral:rRNA from 1 species
UACGUAGGGGGCAAACGUUGUCCGGAUUUAUUGGGCGUAAAGAGCGUGUAGGCGGCUAGAUAGGUCCGUUGUGAAAACUCGAGGCUCAACCUCGAGACGCCGGUGGAAACCAUCUAGCUAGAGUCCGGAAGAGGAGAGUGGAAUUCCUGGUGUAGCGGUGAAAUGCGCAGAUAUCAGGAAGAACACCCGUGGCGAAGGCGGCUCUCUGGGACGUGACUGACGCUGAGACGCGAAAGCCAGGGGAGCAAACGGG